GCUUACGGCCAUACCACGUUGAAAGCACGCCAUCCCGUCCGAUCUCGCAAGUUAAGCAACGUCGGGCCGAAAUGA
rnacentral:rRNA from 1 species